AGGUGUACAAUCUGGCUGCAGCAUCUGUCACCCCGAUGAUUGCCAGGCUGAUUUGGCUGAUGUGACUGCUAGGCAGGUGUCCCCUUCCUCUUUCACUGCUCCCUAUGCAUCCCUCACAAAGCCAGCACUAGGUUGAAUAGGAUGAACUUCACUUAAUUGAGAAGGACCAGUCUUUGAGGUCUAUGAGUAGUUGUACUCCCCUGCUAGAACUUCUGAACAAGCUCUCAAUGUCUACAUACACCUUUUUAAAAUUUUAAACCAUUAAGUACAUAUUCCUAACCUAG
rnacentral:snRNA from 1 species